rnacentral:rRNA from 1 species
CUUGUUGGUGGGGUAGUGGCCUACCAAGGCGACGACGGGUAGCCGGCCUGAGAGGGUGACCGGCCACACUGGGACUGAGACACGGCCCAGACUCCUACGGGAGGCAGCAGUGGGGAAUAUUGCACAAUGGGCGAAAGCCUGAUGCAGCGACGCCGCGUGAGGGAUGACGGCCUUCGGGUUGUAAACCUCUUUCGCCAGGGACGAAGCGCAAGUGACGGUACCUGGAUAAGAAGCACCGGCUAACUACGUGCCAGCAGCCGCGGUAAUACGUAGGGUGCAAGCGUUGUCCGGAUUUAUUGGGCGUAAAGAGCUCGUAGGCGGUUUGUCGCGUCGGCUGUGAAAUCUGGAGGCUUAACCUUCAGCGUGCAGUCGAUACGGGCAGACUUGAGUUCGGUAGGGGAGACUGGAAUUCCUGGUGUAGCGGUGAAAUGCGCAGAUAUCAGGAGGAACACCGGUGGCGAAGGCGGGUCUCUGGGCCGAUACUGACGCUGAGGAGCGAAAGCGUGGGGAGCGAACAGGAUUAGAUACCCUGGUAGUCCACGCUGUAAACGGUGGGUGCUAGGUGUGGGCGACAUUCCACGUUGUCCGUGCCGUAGCUAACGCAUUAAGCACCCCGCCUGGGGAGUACGG